CUUUCCCUCUUUCUUCAGGCCUAACACAUGCAAGUCGAACGGAUGCAGGGUGCUUGCUCCUGGAUUCGGCGGCGGAGGGGUGAGUGAUGGCUAAGAAUCUGCCUGUUUGUGUGGGAUAACGUCCGGACACGGGCGCUCAUACCGCAUACGUCCUGAGGGCGUAAGUGUGAGAGCUUCGGACCUCACGCUAUCAGAUGAUCCUAGGUCGGAUUAGCUAGUUGGUGGGUUAAAGGCCUACCAAGGCGACGAUCCGUAACUGGUCUGAGAGGAUGAUCAGUCACACUGGAACUGAGACACGGUCCAGACUCCUACGGGAGGCAGCAGUGGGGAAUAUUGGACAAUGGGCGCAAGCCUGAUCCAGCCAUGCCGCGUGUGUGAAGAAGGUCUUCGGAUUGUAAAGCCCUUUAAGUUGGGAGGAAGGGCAGUAAGUUAAUACCUCGCUGUUUUGACGUUACCCAAAGAAUAAGCACCGGCUAACUUCGUG
rnacentral:rRNA from 1 species